CCUACGGGCGGCAGCAGUGAGGAAUAUUGGUCAAUGGACGCAAGUCUGAACCAGCCAUGCCGCGUGCAGGAAGACGGCUCUAUGAGUUGUAAACUGCUUUUGUACGAGGGUAAACGCAGAUACGCGUAUCUGUCUGCAAGUAUCGUACGAAUAAGGAUCGGCUAACUCCGUGCCAGCAGCCGCGGUAAUACGGAGGAUUCAAGCGUUAUCCGGAUUUAUUGGGUUUAAAGGGUGCGUAGGCGGUCGGAUAAGUUAGAGGUGAAAUCCCGAGGCGCAACUUCGGAAUUGCCUCUGAUACUGUUCGGCUAGAGAGGAGUUGCGGUAGGCGGAAUGUAUGGUGUAGCGGUGAAAUGCUUAGAGAUCAUACAGAACACCGAUUGCGAAGGCAGCUUACCAAGCUAAUUCUGACGUUGAGGCACGAAAGCGCGGGGAGCAAACAGGAUUAGAUACCCCAUAGUC
rnacentral:rRNA from 1 species